rnacentral:lncRNA from 1 species
AACAAGUCCUUUAGUUAUGUGACAACUCAUACAUUUUUAACGUAAUAUGUGAAACCUCGAGGUAUAUGUGGCCAACCUUUUUUAUUAUUUUUCUUUUGAAGAAUAGUCAUAUUUUUGCCCCGGUGACAAUAUUCACAAGUCCACUUUUGUUAGCUAAAUAGCAUGAGAUGGUGAAUGUUUGAGAAUACAUAUAAGAUUAUUCUUGGAGAGAUAGCCAUUACGAUGAAUGAAGUGAGAAUAAGGCCCUUUAGGAUAUUUCUCCAAAAUUCUACCAAAAUAAGAAUUAUCCUUA